rnacentral:rRNA from 1 species
AUUGAACGCUGGCGGCAUGCCUUACACAUGCAAGUCGAACGGCAGCACGGGAGCAAUCCUGGUGGCGAGUGGCGAACGGGUGAGUAAUGUAUCGGAACGUGCCCAGUCGUGGGGGAUAACGUAGCGAAAGCUACGCUAAUACCGCAUACGAUCUGUGGAUGAAAGCGGGGGACCGUAAGGCCUCGCGCGAUUGGAGCGGCCGAUAUCAGAUUAGGUAGUUGGUGGGGUGAAGGCCUACCAAGCCGACGAUCUGUAGCUGGUCUGAGAGGACGACCAGCCACACUGGGACUGAGACACGGCCCAGACUCCUACGGGAGGCAGCAGUGGGGAAUUUUGGACAAUGGGCGCAAGCCUGAUUCAGCAAUGCCGCGUGCAGGAUGAAGGCCUUCGGGUUGUAAACUGCUUUUGUACGGAGCGAAAAGCCCCGGGUUAAUACCCUGGGGUCAUGACGGUACCGUAAGAAUAAGCACCGGCUAACUACGUGCCAGCAGCCGCCGUAA